GGUCCAUUAGCUCAGACUGGUUAAUAGGUUUUGAACAGCUUGACUAUAGCGCGGGUCUUAUAAACCCGAGAGCCGGGGUUCAAAUCCCCGAUGGACCA
rnacentral:tRNA from 1 species